GAAAAAUAAAAACAGACAGCAGAGAACCAUCAAAAACCCUUGUCAUUCUCCAUAAAAAAACCCCUUGUUAUUAUUUGGAAAAAAAAAAAAUGAAUAGAGAAGAAAAGGAAGAAGAAGAAGAGAUAGUUUGCCUAGACGCGUCUUUCUUCAUCAAUGACAAUUACCGGUUAACCACAUUCACAUUCGGUUCUCAAGUUAUUGAGCUCCUUUGUCUUCACUCUGCUUCAACUGAUUUUGAUUUGACUGGGCAACUUGUAUGGCCCGGUGCCCUGCUUUUGAAUGAUUAUCUUGCAAAAAAUGCUGAGAUGCUUCAAGGAUGUUCUAUUAUUGAGCUGGGCUCUGGUGUAGGAGUUACUGGAAUACUCUGCAGCAGAUUUUGCCGUCAACUUCUGUUAACUGACCACAAUGAUGAAGUGCUUAAGAUCCUGAAGAAAAAUAUAGAGCUCUGUGCAUCUUCUGAGAAUCCAAAUUGUUGUGCUGAGCUUGCGGCUGAGAAGUUAGAGUGGGGAAAUUCUGAUCAUAUUGAUCAGAUUUUACAAAGAUAUUCAAGGGGAUUUGAUCUGAUUCUUGGAGCUGACAUUUAUAUCCUUGUUGCUUUUCUCCUAUCAUUUUCUAGAAAAAUAGCAAUCAGUUUUAAAAAACUAGUCUGUUCAACUGUUGAUGAUUUAAAAAGGGAUUGGAUGGGCAUCAUUUUGCCUUCAGUCAAACAUCUGAUUUGCAUGUUAACACGGUGCUAUCUCAGCCUAUCUGGUAUCACUAUGUUGUAAAUUCUCUUUUGUUAUUGAUGCUUAAUUUGGCAUGGGCAAUGUGACCAGCCCUGAAUUUAUUAGUAGUUACUAUGGUGUGUCUUCACAUAUGUAGUAUGAGUAUUAUGGAUGGUCCCUCAAUGAGGCCAAAUUUUUGAAUGAGACAAAUAAUUGUAAUUACCAAUGUAGCUGGUUAAAUAGUUUUUUUCCCCUUCUUCCAUGUAAUCAGCUGGGAGUUAUAUAUUCAAAAGGAAAUCCCUUGACAACAUGUAAGCUUUCAGCAGUCAAGUGUUCCUUUGCUUUUUGAUACAGUGGAACGUCUACUUCAUGUUCGGGGAGGACAAUGCAAAUUCAUACUGGCUUAUGUAUCCCGAACUAAGACGUAGCAUGGAUUCAUUGAUUAUGAAACAAGCUGCUGAGCAUGGAAUGAGGAUGGUUGAGGUUACUGGGACUCGCUCUGUGGUUGGAAAUCUUGAAGGAGUCAUAUUUGAGGUUGCCCUACAAUAAAAUCAUCAAACGUGUUCAGUUGCGAACUUGAAUAUUGAGGGACAAUGCAAGGCUGGGAAUACUUGGAGAAUCUUGUAUGCACAUAGCAAAUGACUAAAAUAAUGACAAUGAACUGUAAGAA